rnacentral:tRNA from 1 species
GCUCCUGUGGCGGAAUGGUAGACGCAUCUGUCUUUAAAACAGUGGCCUUCGCAGGGCAUGCGGGUUCGAUUCCCGUCAGGAGCA